AUGCGCGACCUAGCGCGGCGUCACGGGCCGGUGAUGCUCCUCCGGCUCGGGGAGGUGCCCACGCUGGUAGUGUCGUCCCCGGAGGCCGCCCGCGAGGUGAUGAAGACCCACGACAUGCUGUUCGCGACGCGGCCCCUCAACUCCACCAUGAGCGUGCUCACCAACGGCGGCCGGGACAUCGUGUUCGCGCCCUACGGCGACCACUGGCGGCAGCUCCGGAAGAUCGCCGUCCUGGAGCUCUUGUCGCCGGGGCGGGUCCUGUCCUUUCGCGCCAUCCGCGAGGAGGAAGUCGCCGCCAUGCUCCACGAUGUCGCCGACGCCGCGGCGGCCGCGCGCCCCGUGGAGCUGCACGCGUGCCUCUCCGUGGUCGUCUCCAACAUCACGGUGCGCACCGUCAUGGGUGACUACAGGUUCAAGUAG
rnacentral:rRNA from 1 species